GGCAGUUCUCAGGUGAUGCACCCGGAAUUAGGCUCCCUCCUCUCUGGUUCCGGGUGCAUUACCGGAGAACUGCA
rfam:Myotis davidii contig141114, whole genome shotgun sequence.